UACGGAGGAUGCGAGCGUUAUCCGGGUUUAUUGGGUUUAAAGGGUGCGCAGGCGGCGUGUCAAGUCAGCGGUAAAAUGUCGGGGCUCAACCCCGGCCGGCCGUUGAAACUGGCGUGCUCGAGUUGGAGAGAAGUAUGCGGAAUUCGUGGUGUAGCGGUGAAAUGCAUAGAUAUCACGAAGAACCCCGAUUGCGAAGGCAGCAUACCGGCUCCACACUGACGCUGAGGCACGAAAGCGUGGGUAUCGAACAGG
rnacentral:rRNA from 1 species